GGAUUUGAGGGUGAUCUGGCUGUGACAUCUGUCACCCCAUUGAUCACCAGCAUUGAUCUGGCCCAUGUGGCCGGCCAGGCAGGUGUGACCCUGUCCCCUUGCUCCCAUCCCUCUCCCUGUGCAUCCCUCCUGAAGCUGUGUGCCGGGAAGGUGGAAGAGAACAGCCACCCCACAGAGAGGGGGCCUGUGGACCCCAUCAGGGCUGCAAACAUAGCUACAUAUGCAUGCAAAGGGUAACAGUAAUCAGUUGAGCUACUUUUAUAUUUCUAUAUAAAAGUAGAACAAAAUAGUAAAAUAAACAAAAGGAAUAAAAGUAGAAAGAGGCUUGUAGGCUGCUCUCU
rnacentral:snRNA from 1 species